rnacentral:rRNA from 1 species
UACAGAGGGUGCAAGCGUUGUUCGGAAUUAUUGGGCGUAAAGGGCGCGUAGGCGGCCGCGUAUGUCCGGUGUGAAAGCCCACCUCUUAAAGGUGGAAUUGCAUCGGAAACUACGUGGCUAGAGUGUCGGAGAGGAUGGUGGAAUUCCUGGUGUAGAGGUGAAAUUCGUAGAUAUCAGGAGGAACACCGGUGGCGAAAGCGGCGCACUGGACCACAUCUGACGCUGAGGCGCGAAAGCUAGGGGAGCAAACAGG